GGCAGUUUCAUUGACUGGAUGCAAAUCCUUCUGUUCAAUGAGGUUUUUAUACCUCAUUGACUGGAAGGAAUUCCUUUUGGGCAAGGAGGUUGGCCAAACAGAAGGAUUUCCUUCUGGUUAAUGAAUUUUUUAUGCCUCAUUGACUGGAAGGAAUUCCUUCCGGUUGAUGAAGCUGUU
rnacentral:miRNA from 1 species